GACAGAGGGGGCAAGCGUUGCUCGGAAUUACUGGGCGUAAAGGGCGCGUAGGCGGAAUGGCAAGUCGGUCGUGAAAUCCUUCGGCUCAACCGAAGAACGUCGAUCGAAACUGCCGUUCUUGAGGAUUGCAGAGGAGACUGGAAUUCCCGGUGUAGCGGUGAAAUGUGUAGAGAUCGGGAGGAACACCGGUGGCGAAGGCGGGUCUCUGGGCAAUUCCUGACGCUGAGGCGCGAAAGCUAGGGGAGCAAACAGG
rnacentral:rRNA from 1 species